UGACAAGUGUUGGUGCUCAAAGAGUUCAC
rnacentral:piRNA from 1 species